AACGAACGCUGGCGGCAUGCCUAACACAUGCAAGUCGAACGAGACCUUCGGGUCUAGUGGCGCACGGGUGCGUAACGCGUGGGAACCUGCCCUUAGGUUCGGCAUAACUCCCCGAAAGGGGUGCUAAUACCGGAUAAUGUCUUCGGACCAAAGAUUUAUCGCCUUUGGAUGGGCCCGCGUUGGAUUAGCUAGUUGGUAGGGUAAAAGCCUACCAAGGCGACGAUCCAUAGCUGGUCUGAGAGGAUGAUCAGCGACACUGGGACUGAGACACGGCCCAGAAUCCUACGGGAGGCAGCAGAGGGGAAUAUUGGACAAUGGGCGAAAGCAUGAUCCAGCAAUGCCGCGUGAGUGAUGAAGGCCUUAGGGUUGUAAAGCUCUUUUAACCGGGAUGAUAAUGACAGUACCGGGAGAAUAAGCUCCGGCUAACUCCGUG
rnacentral:rRNA from 1 species